AUUCUCUCAUAUCUAUGACGGUUGGGUCGAGCAUAUGUGAGAUAGAGGGGCAAGUCACCGACAACAACAUUACAUGUAUCCUUCCGCCGCUACCGUCGGGGCAAUACCCGGUACUACUUCACGUGGAUAACAUUGGGUACGCUUAUAGCAGCGCGCCUUUGGUGAUAGAAUACAUCUUCAGGGUGGACAACAUUGACCCUUUGGAAGGCUCCUUGGCAGGUGGAACUGUACUAAACAUAACCGGCGAAGGGUUCCCAACAAACGUGUCUGCAGUUGAUGUGAAAGUCGGGCCUGUGUCGUGCGACGUUCGGGAGAUAUCUGAGAACAUACUGGUGUGUGUAACUCAACCG